CUUAUACUUAGAGCUUGUAAAAUGUUUAAAUAUCUUAAUGUUAAUGUUAUAGAAUAGAAUAUAUUUACCUGUUUUAUAAUUAAUUAUCAUAAGUGAUGUGGACAGGACAUAAUCUUCUGAAAGCCUAGUUUAUUUCCCACACAGCAACCGGGUUGAGGAACCUAAGCACAAGUAUUCUGAACAUAGACUCUACUGUGACAGUGACCGCUGUUUCUUUUCUACCUAAGGCAGCUGAACUCAUGACUAGUACCAGUUCCACGGUUACCCUGGAAGUUGCAAAUCAAGACAUCCUCUCUCACUGCCUGUCCACCUUUCUUACCAACCCAUUGUCCUCCAUGGUGCAGAGAGCCUCUUACCACUUCCAAGGAAGAACUUCAGGAAGAGUUUUACCUACUUGAGCUCCAUUGAGUAGAGGCUGGCAAGGGUCUCUAGUGUGACAGUAAUAUGUGGAUCCAGAGCUCCUCAUUGGAAUCUGUGACAUCCAGACAGGAGCACCUGAACCCUUCCUCCAAGUCAGUUACCCCUGCUUCCACUCUGACUAAGAGUGGUCCUGGCCAUUGGGAAACCCCAGCAGAGGUGCUGGCCACCACUGUUACUGUCUCCCAGCCCAUAUGAACAGACCUCCCUCCACCACCUCCUCUACCACAGGUCCACUACACCAGAUUUUGGCGGCAUUUUAGUGGAUUUGCCCCUCCCACCACCUUCUGCAAACAAGGCAGGAUCCCAGUCUGUUCAGGUGGCUGCUGGCUAGCAAAAGAGAGUGAGGAGCAGCAGCGGUGGUCUGAGAUAUAGAAGGCCUGCCUGGACAAGGAAGCAGAGAGGAAGCACAGGGAGCAGGAGAGGAAUGGGUGACAGAUGCACUCUCAUUCCCUGAACCUGCUUCCUUCUCUUCUUUGACCACACCGACCAAACCAGGAAAACCUUCCACACUGCAGAGGCCCAAGAAACAGUCAUUCUGGUGUUGUAGUCCCCGCAGCAGCCCCCCACUAUUGAGCACAGGGAUCUGCAGUUCAUAACUAUCAGUAAAGAGGAGUUGUCCUCUGGGGAGUCUGUCUCCAGACCCAUGGAAACAAGAUGCCAGGGAGAAGCUGGAGAAGCAACAGCAAAUGCACCUUGUGGAUAUGCUAAGCAAGGAGAUCCAUGAGCUGCAAAACAAGGGGGACGGUAGUGCAGAGGAGAGUGACUGCCUGUGGAAGAAUAUGCUGGAGUGGCAGUUCCAGAAGAGACUUCAGACCAUAUUUCUUGUGUUUCUCCCAGGUUCAUUUCAGAAUACUGUUCAAGAAGCUCAACAUUUGUCGUUUACAUAGUAGAAAUUUAUAACAACAAUGUUUUUGCCCUUCUUGCCUUAGACAGUUCUACAGUGGUGUCUAUGGUUAAGUGCCAGGCAGUGAGAACCCAGGAGUGAUAUUCAGAGGUACAAAGGAUGACCUGCAGGUAAGGUGCUCCUGGGGCCCAGUGUCCUAAAUGCAGGUCCACAACCUUACAGCUGCCCACUCCAGCUGUGCCUGGGAUGGAGCCAGUGCUACCGACCUAGGAGGCAUCUCAGGGAGUGUGCUUAGUAUGUGCCCCAUUGCUUCAGUGCAUGAUAAGGUUAAUCUGCAAGAGCAGCAAGGAUUUUAGCCAGCUCGCGUUCUGUAUCUGAGAAAGAACAUGUCUUUAAGAACAUCAAUAUGCUCACCUCUAGCACAUAUCAGCUUUAUAUGUCAACGAUAUCAUAAUAAAGCUGUUUAAAACAUAAAAAGUUAUAGGGUAGCUCAAGUCUAGGAUGUACUGACCUUGAGUAUUAUAUCUAAUUACACACACAUACCCACACACACACACACAGAGAGAGAGAGAGAGAGAGAGAGAGAGAGAGAGAGCGCUAAAAAAAGUUGGAAAAAUUAACAAAUCUUAAAAAUAUAUAAAUAACUGUGUAAUUAUUAAAAUCCUGUAUGAGAGUCAAUGUUUUUCGCCUCGCAUUGAGGAAGGGGCUUAGAGAAAUGAAUUAUCCCCCUCCAACCUCCAAAAACAUACGCACACACACAAUCAAUGACAUGUGUAAUUGUACCAGGAAAUACCCGUAUUUUAUAGAAUGCCAUAAUGGAAAGUAAGAACCAUCUUUUUCGUUAAGGGUUGCCAAUAUAUUCUUUUUUCAAGGUGUGUGCAGCCGUGCCAGUCUUGUUCACCAUGGGAUGGAAGCGGUCCCUGACCUGUGAGCCUAGAGGUGACCAGGUGCUCCAUUCUGAGACUGAGAGAGGCAGGAUGCCCACUCAAGGGUCCAUAGCAGGGAAGGUUUUCAAGCUAUGUACAGUGCUGGAAAAGCCUACACAGGGCAUACAGUUAGCAGUGAUGUGUUUGCAGGGAGUCCAAGGAACCAGCUUUGUACUGAUGCAGGUGGGUAAGCAUUUAUCAUCCACCUUCCACUCUGACAGCAAUAAGAGUAUUGCUUAAGUUUUAUUUCAUAGAUUUGAUCCCUGACCAAAAUACCAAAAACUGCACCCUUAACGAUGUAGCAAAUAGAAUAGUGGAUACUAGGCCAAGAACCUUUGACUCUUCUAAUACCAUUGUGUAUUUCAGAGCAAGGAAGGAGAGGUAUCAAUGGACAGCAGUCUGCUUUCCCCACGAGUGCUCUACCACUGAGUUAGUAGCCUUAGCCCUCCUCACCUUUAGAAAAAGGGUGUGACUAAUUUGUCCAUGGUGACCUUGAACUCAUGCUGUAGACCAGGCUAGCCUUGAACUUCUGAUUCCCCUUCCUACUGAGUGUCUUGAUUGUCUGGUAUUACAGGCCCAUUUCUCUACAGCUGACCAGCUUGCUUGCUUCCUCCUUUCUUUUCUUCUCCUUUUUAUCUCUCUCUUUCUUUCAUUCUUCCUUCCUUCCUUUCUCUCUCUCUCUCUCUUUCUCUCUCUCUCUCUCUCUCUCUGCCUUUCUUGAUUUUUCGUUCUUUCUUUCGUUCGUUCUUUCAUACUUUCCUUCCUUUCUUUCAUUCUUUUCUUUCUUUCAUUCUUUAACUUUCUUUUCUUCCUUCUUUCAUUCCUUUGUUCCUUUCUUUUAAGAUUCAAUUAUUUGAGUGGUCUAUCUGCAUGUACAUCUGUGUGUCCAAAGAGGGCAUCAGAUCUGAUUAUAGUUAGUUAGUAUCCAUAAUAUGGUGACUGGAAUCAAACUCAGGACCUUUGAAAGUGCAGCCAGGCUCUGAACCACUGAGCCUGCUCUCCAACCCCAGCCCAUUUUCGUAAACUUAGCACACUUGGUUCACAUGAGAAUUGUCUGUCCAUGAGCAAGAUAAGGUUAAUCAUAGCAAAGAGUGCUUAUCCCUUGCCAGAUCAACCUGGGGUCUCCUGUGACUUAUGCUGUCCUUUUCCAGGCCUGUCAUCAGUGCCUUGGCGUUUGUGGGACUCAUCCACAGAGGCAUGCAACUCAGAGAACGGUACCCCAACUUGGUGCACAGGAACUCUUUCAGGUGUCACUUGAUUGUCACAGGUUUCUGCUCGGUCAGCAAGGAAGGGAAGCCUAGCCCUGUGCCAGGUCAGUUCCCAGUACAGAAGUUCAUUCAUGGCAAACCCAAGUGAUCAUUGCAGUGAGCGUUGGCUGUCUAGAGCCCACAUCAAGGAGGCCUUCCAGACUUUGGAAGUGGAGAGGGAGGGAAGAAAACAAAAGUAUGGUACACUCACACUUUGGAAGGACACACAUCCAUCCUAAGUGAAACACAAGUUCUGUUUUCCAGUUGACAAGUAUAUAACAUGGCUCUUAAGGCUACACCCACAUUGUAAAAGCCGGUGAUGUCAAUCACAGCAGGUAAGAUGUCAGCCACCUGAGUCAUGCAGAGUUUGACCACAUGAGACUCACCCCAGGACUUAAAUGCAGUGAGCUCAAGGACUCACAUGCUAUGCUGCGUGGGCUCCUCCUUAUGCCACACCUUGACCCCAUUGCACCCUGGGCCUCCACACCAUAAGCCAGAGUGCAGUUCCCUGGGCACAGUAAGACACACCUAGGCUAGUUUCCACUCCCAUGGAUGUUCUUGUGGCCUUGUCAGAGCACUGUGACCACAUCCCACAUCUGAACAGCAAGCUAAUCAACAGGAUGCUCUAGGAGUCCAUCCGUUUGUCUUCUUCAGAGACGCCAUAAUAGAGGGGGCAGAAAUCCAGGCUUUAGGGAGAUACCACAGCCAUGAUUGUUCAUUUGUCCCAGCCACUCCACCUUUGGCCAAGUUACAGCUCUGUCAGGCCCUGCCAUGUUGUCUUCAACAUGUUUGUGUGUCAGUGAUACUUGUAUGAACUAUGCUACACGUUGGCCUAGAGGCUGGGCUUUCCUCUUGCAUUUCCAGCAAGACUACAGAGUUCCUGUGGGAGACUCUCAUGGCUCUUCAUGUUCUGGCAGCACAGUCUGCAGAUGUCUCUAAGGUAUUGGACAUCAGACCCCACUGAGGAGUGAGAGGCUUUCAGUGGCUUAUAGACCCAAGGCCUGGGCAUGAUGGCCUUUAUUGUGUGUUUGAUAGCAUGUAUGCUCUGCUCCAAGUGUAGACAGACACUCCCCAUGCCUGUAGUCUGUGCUUGGAGUGUGCGUACACACUCUCCAUGCAAACAGCUGUCUACGCACACACAGAUGCCAUUUUCAUGAUUUACACCUGUUAUCUUUGAUGUUUCUUUUAAAAGACAAUCAUAUAAAGUUACUGUGAUUUUGUGCUGGCUUUCUUUACCCAGCCCACAGAUGAAUAUUGGAAGGAGACUCGAAUCUGCGUGGGCUCCUCCUUAUGCCCAUACCCUGACCCCAUUGCACACUUUUAGGCAGAGGCAUGGCAGAGCGUGGCCUGUAAUUGUCCUGUCCAUUCCCUAUGGAUUGUGACCACAGUCUGCAGUUCUGCACAGCCUGGCAUCCAAGGAAAUUGGUAUAGUUCCCUACAAUGUCUCCACAGGCCCAGAGGAAGGACAUAAAUAGAAUCUUUAUGAGACCCAAGUGGCUUCUCAGGGUCAGCCAAUGCUCUUGGCUCCUUCUUGUCUCUGAAGACACAGGGCACAGGUCCUGACCUGCAUGCACCUGUAGCUGCUGCACACACUAAGGAUGACUUGUGCUGGCCUCUGAUGCUUCUGGGAGUCCUGAAAACCACAAUCCCUGGGCCAAGGGGACUAGUGAGGGACAAGUGAGCACAAGGCCCCUGCCUGCUCCCUGGAGACCAGAAGCCCCAGCAGGGUUCUCACUGCUGUGUUCCCCAAGAUAAUGACAAGCACCUGUUACAGCAGGUCAUGCUCUGGUGGGAAAGGCAGACAGGCACAUCCAAGGCUGUUCUGUGGCCAUGCUGGGCCUGCCUGCUCUUCAGGGGCAUACUCUGCCAUGCCACUCAGCAUAUCCCAAGUUGUGUCUGGAGUGCUUUGGUCUCACAGGAAUGCUGUGUUCAUGGAGACACUGACAAACUAAGGACCAAGACCCUGUCAAGUACCCAUCCACACAUGACUCCUGCCAGGAAUCAGCAGUAUGGGCAACCACGUAAACAUGGAGACAUGGAUUAUUUCUUCCUUGGGAGCACUUGUGAACCACAGGGUCAGGUGACAAGCUCUAGACCAGGAAAGGAUCAGGAGGAGCAGAGUGACCUCACCUGAACUUGAGGAAUAGGGAACCCAGCAAGGGGAGUGACCACCCUUGGUUCACACAAUUUAGGGACAUAUGUGGUGGGAAGAAGCUAAGUUGAGGCAACCUGGACACAUCCCAAGAUAGCAGGUGAUUGGGGGGGGGCGGUGUAGGCUUGCAUGAAAUGAUGUGUUUGUGUGUGUGUGUGUGUGUGUGUGUGUGUGUGUGUGUGUGUGUGUGUGUGCCUGUGUAUGUCUGUGAAUGGGCCUAUCCUGACACCAGACCUGACCGAUGCCAGGCACACACAGUUGGCACAGACCCCACUUUACACUAGGGUUUUUGUUCCCAAAGGUUUUCUAAUGGAAGGUAAUAUGAGUCUUGUACAGGGCUAGUUCACCAGAUUUUGUACGAAAGAUGAAAUCUGAUCUUUAGAGAUUGGAGUCUGAGCUAGCCUUGUGGACCCUCCUCUUCCCACUGUUCCCAGUCUGUUUCGUGUCACAAUGUCCAGGGAAUAGAACUCUCAGUUCUGCCAGCACCUCUGUGUGAGGCAUUGCAUCAGCUGACAUCCAGAAUGGUUGUCCCAACUCCACAUGUUCUGGCCGAGGUCAAGAUGCACACAAGAAGGCCUAGAUGAGGAGGUACUGCCCCACCCAGCCAGACAGACUUCAUCUACUCUAACAGAUGUUAGGAGGAGGUGCAGAUAUGACUCACAAAAAUGCAUCCACUAUUGGGCUCAACUACCAAGAACCUGUGAGCAGCAGUGACAUUCAAGUCUCCUCUCAUCCAAGUAGAGGGACAUCAAAUACUUCUUUGGACCCUGGGCAGUAAAGAAAUCUUGAGGGCUCCAUGAGUAGAUAACAUACCAUGAACCAUAUCAGAGCCCAUGGACUGUACCUGCUUGAUGACCCUGGACCUCCUUGGCUAAGGUGAGGAGAGGAGACCCCAAACAGCCCUAUACCAGUGACUCAGAAACACUGUCAGACAGGAUGGACCAGCCUCCACAACCUGAGAUGUGCAGUAAGGGUUCUUUUCCAUUCCGUACAAAGAUGUCUGGUUUGCAGAGUCUCAAAUGGAUCUGAGACAUACUGCAAGGGAGGCUUUGUGUUGGGUGCAGUAGUUAAAACCAGGACAUGAGAAGGGUAACUGCAGAGCUGUGAUCUCGGAAAUUCUGCAGUACCCAGUUUGGAUUAUUGGAGCCUAGGCAGGCUUUGCAGUCAUAGACCUCCCUCUACUGCCCAUGUCCCUUCAUGACACCUUCUCUAGCAGAUAAGACCAGAGUCCAGGCUGCUUCAGGGCUAACAAGACACUUGUUUCUCUCAUACACUUACACUCCUGAGAAUCCUAGUAGCUUACAACCAGAAACAGGAAAAAUAGAGCCCAUCCAAAGCCCUAUGAUUAAGUCAGAGCUAGUCCCAUCUCCUACAAGUGGGCAGGGAAAGGCGACUGAUGUGGUGGGCAGAAGUGGUAAGGGCCAACAACUGACUUGCUUGGAAAAGGCUGGAGACUGGUCAUGCUGGAAUGAUCUCAAGCAACCUUCAAGGCUGGCUGGCACAGAAAGGGCUGCUGGAUAUCUCUUGCCCAGACCACAAUGUCCUCCAGGGUUCUGUCUUCACCAGGCCAGUAUAGGAAGAGGUAGCACCUGAACUUCAUGCCAUUGAGAGAGCUAACCUCUUGAGGAACCAGCUGGUCCACCAGUGUGCAGUCUCAGGUUUCGCUGGGUGAGAGAGUCGUGAGCUGUCUGUAUGAUUGAGUAGACACUUGUUGUCCAGGCUGAGGACAUACUGGGCACCUCUGCGGUUGUUCUCUGCCUCUUCAACCUACAGGGAGAUAGAAAACAUGGAGGUAGUCCGCACCCUGACUUUUGGCACUUUCUAUGCUCCUACAAUCCCAGGACUGAAUGUCUACAUAGACCAUCUAAUUCUGGCAGAGUCGAUCUGUCAUGGGCCAGAUAAGCCAUCCUGUUGGUUGCUCUGUCUUAGCUUUCAUGACACACUGCCCUCUAUUUUACCUCAGGCUGUCUCCUCCAAGCAUCCCAGCAUGCAUCAGCUCCAUAUCCUGCCCAACAUACCUUAGGGUCCCUGAUAAUUCCAGAUACUUUAAUGUUCUCCCAGGCUGCACUGUGGGCUCUUGUGUGCCUCAAUUCAUCCUAGAAGUUCUUGGGAGCCUCCAUGCCAUGGCAUAGGAUAUCUUUGUGUCCACACUGAGCCGAGUGAUUCCAUCCAGUAUAGGAUUCUCUCCCUAUUGUUGAAUUUUGGCACUUAUAUCUUUAGGAAUGACUGCAUAUGGUCAACACACACUACCCUGGAAGACCCGAGAGUUCAAGGACGGCCAACUUUCACUUAAGCAAACUUGUCCACAGACUGCGUGGGUCCCAUCAGCUGAGAGUAGCCUCCACAUUGCAGUGAUGUGCAAACUUCUGCCUUUCAGCCAUGAUGGACUUUAGGAUCUAACCUGAGGACCCUACACAAGGCACAGGUUCUGAGCCUGAUGGAGAGGACUCCUGCUAAACCCAGUGUUCCCAAGAAACUGGCUGUACCGGCAGGGCUAACUGUAGAGGAUUCUCCACGACCCUGAGAACACAAUUUGGAAAUCUCAGGUAGGCAGGGUGUGUGGGGGAGCAACCAGGGCUGGAUGGAGACCUUACCCAGAAUUUGAUCUCUAGCCCUGCAUUCUGAUUAGCAUGAACUACACUCCUGUGAAGGUCUCUGGGUGGUUCCCGAAAUUAGGUGGAGGAAGAGGAGGAGAAGGAGGAGGAGGAGGAGGAGGAGAAGGAGAAGGAGGAAGAAGAAGAGGAGGAGAAGGAGGGGGAGGAGGAGGAGGAAGAGGAAAAAACAAGUAAGCAAGGACAAGACAGGCACGUGGCCCGUACUCACUGCAGUGGCCCAUCGUAUCCUAGGUGUUUUCCUGCCCUAACUGUGAAGCAGGAACCAAACACCACUCCUCAUGGGACUGUCUGAGAUGAGGCCAGCUGUGGGUCUGAACUGUCAGCAAGGACAGUAGCUGUCUGUGCCAUACAUCGAAGCAUAGUGUCCCACAUAAGCCCAUCUCACAAAUGAUGCCAUCUCCUCCCCAGAGUGGCUCAAGUAAGGGUUAGGAGUGCCUCAUGAAUGCCAAGCUCUCCCCUACUCCUGCGGACCCAUGAAUGGUGCCUUCUCAGGGCCCGUCUAUCCUGAGCCCAGGGAGCAGCCAGAGGGCAUAUUCAUGCGAUUUCAUACUCAGGUCAAUCUGCUAUCCUGUACCCCAUGAGUCGGGACUGAAACUCAGUGCUCAAGACCACUUGUUUUUUUCUGGACAAGACUUUCAGAAUGUGGUCACACACAGUGUUAGUGACACAUUGCAUGCCCAUGACUGGCAUUCAUUGUAGCCCUGAGCACCCAGGGAUUCAGAUCAGCAUUGGCCAGAUCAGACUCUUUGCUACCUGGUCCUAUAGCUCACCUCCACUGUAGUUCCAUGUGUCCUGACUGCUGCAGCUGCACCAGAAGCUACCAGAUGUCUUCCCACAGAAUCGUACUGUAAUGUGGGCUCAUCCACAGACAUCUCACACUCUCCCUGCUGGGAGUUAGGUUGGAUGCCUCCUGUGUGAGAGCUGCCUUGCCUUGUGGAGCAGAGAG